rnacentral:rRNA from 1 species
AGUGAACGCUGGCGGUAGGCCUAACACAUGCAAGUCGAACGGCAGCACAGUAAGAGCUUGCUCUUACGGGUGGCGAGUGGCGGACGGGUGAGUAAUACAUCGGAAUCUACUUUCUCGUGGGGGAUAACGUAGGGAAACUUACGCUAAUACCGCAUACGACCUACGGGUGAAAGCAGGGGAUCUUCGGACCUUGCGCGAUUGAAUGAGCCGAUGUCGGAUUAGCUAGUUGGCGGGGUAAAGGCCCACCAAGGCGACGAUCCGUAGCUGGUCUGAGAGGAUGAUCAGAUACACUGGAACUGAGACACGGUCCAGACUCCUACGGGAGGCAGCAGUGGGGAAUAUUGGACAAUGGGCGCAAGCCUGAUCCAGCCAUAUCGCGUGGGUGAAGAAGGCCUUCUGGUUGUAAAGCCCUUUUGUUGGGAAAGAAAAGCAGCAGGUUAAUACCCCGCUGUUCUGACGGUACCCAAAGAAUAAGCACCGGCUAACUUCGUG